rnacentral:lncRNA from 1 species
GAUCUGCAGGUAGGGAAAAGGGUAUUUAAAAUAAAUCAAUCUGGGCUCAAUAAUAACAUUUGUUUUACUUGACAUAGACAAAUAUCUUCAAAAGAUUAAAACAAAAAAGAUUUCAAAGCUUUUGAUUACUUUACUUUUUUAGGAAAACGCAAAGUAUGGCAUUAUGAAAACAUGCUGAAAAUUCUACAAACUACAUUAUGUACAAAACUACAAAAUAAUGGCAAAGUAUGGGACUUAAUUUGGCACUUGCAUAGCACUGGUACACUAGUUUUAACAUAAUAAAAUAUAUAUGAACAUAAUAAACAUAGAGGUAGAAUAAUGGCUAUGUCUAGCACAGCAUGAUAUGGCUGCAACAAUUCAAGUAGAUAAAAAAGGUUUUUACUAGGUUAGUUUUUUUAACUUUCGUUUUUGAUAUAGACGUUAAGAGGAAACACAUGUGAACAUCAAAUGAGAUAGACAUAUUCUCCAACUAUAAACAUGAAUAUUUCUAAGUUGAUGAAUCAGUGGGCUAUUAUAGAUUGUACAAAAAAAUAAAUAAAUAAAAAAUCAUGGCGGUAGUUUACCAUUCAAAAUUGUUUGGCAAAACAUAAUAUCUGGAAGCACCUGUUGAUAAUUAAACAUAAACAAUGUAUUGGAGAUCAUAUUUGCAUGUAUCUUUAUGAUAAAUACUGAUUGCACAAAUUAAAAUGCCUUUCUUAAAACUGUUCUGCUUGUGUAAAAUGUAGAUAGAAAUGUGAUUGGGAAUGUAUGUAUGAAUUGAAAUAUAUCUGAACUAAAUAAAAAUCUGAAUAACCUUUUCAACUAGGUUUUUGCAACAUGCUUCAAAGAUUUCAGCAUUAUUCUACAGUUAAUGACAAGUCAAAAGCCUAUUAUUGCAAUUGAAAUAUUCAUUUUUGAUUUGGAUUUUUAAACUUGUUAUUGGAGCAGGCACUGAUGUUUAUGUAUAGGAAAUACUCAUCUGAUAAACCAAAUUUAACAUGUUGGCUUCUUAAAAUCAUUUGACCCAUAUCUUAAUGGUUUUAGAUGAAUAUCUGAUAUCUUUUCCUUUUAACAUAUUCCAAUUCCAACAAUUAAGUUAAAAUGAAUUAAAAAAUUCUAAAUUUUGUUUCUUCGAUAAAUACAUACACGUAAUAUCAGUG